AAGUCGUAACAAGGUUUCCGUAGGUGAACCUGCGGAAGGAUCAUUACCGAUUUUUAGCGGACCUGGUCUUUGAUCAUGGUCUCGCGAAAACUUGUAUUUAAAACCCCACUCUUAUAAAUUGAAUCAUUUUAUUAUAUGUAUAAUAAAUAAAGAUCACUUUCAACAACGGAUCUCUUGGCUCUC
rnacentral:misc_RNA from 1 species